GCCACACAACACGAGUGUGUGUUUGUUGAGUGUACUUCUAUUUUAGUGUUUCAUCUUCUUUUUUAAACUCUGUUCAGGAGCCUGAUACCUCUGGAUUCUGUUUCAUGCAAGCAUUAUUUACAAGUUUGUGGAUUUCAAAUUAAAAAACAAAGUUUGUUAACUUUUUUUUUUCUUCUUACGGUUCUAUGUUUUUCUCUCAUUUCUUUUCUUGAUCCGCACAGUUUUUUUUUUUUUUUUUUUCUUCAGUUUAUUAAUUUAAGCUUAAGUUCAAGAUGCAAUACAGUCCUUUGUUGUUCGUAAAUUUUUACGUACUUUUUGGAUAUAUUUUCAUCACCUCUCUACCCGGAAAAUAAAUGAAUUGAAGGUUAGUGGAUAUAAAUGUAUAAUUUAAUAGCAAUUUUCUUUAUUACAUUUGUAACUUGUUUCUUCUGAAUAUAGCCUGCCAGGGUAAAUUAGGAUUGUCUCAGCAUAAAAGCUUUAAAAUCAAUCUCAGUAUGACCUUAAUCUGGAAAUUAAUCAUAAAAUGAAAACGGGUUACUGGUCCUGGAGCUUCUAUUCUAUCAUCAAGUUGCUAUCGUCCGUAAAUAGAAGGUUCAUUUGAGGGUAAGACAUAAGAACCUUUAGCAGAUACACAGUAGGGUAAUUAGUGUCCGUGGAAAACUGUUCUGUAUGUGAAUUCAGUUUUGUGUCUUGGUAGUUUCUUAGAAAAGUAUUUGUUUUAUUGAAACUGUUUCGCCCAAGUUCAGUCAAUGCUGUCCGUCACAAGCUUAUCUGAAUUCUGUGAUAAUCUAGUGUUCUGGCGAUUGUUUGAACUUCGAACUCUUUGACAUGUCUGUAACAGUAAGCUAAUCUUAUAAUUCCUCAAUUGACUUUUUCAGGGUUUGGAUUUUGAUGUGUAGUCAAUAAGGAGUUGACAGUUUGAUCAAGCUUUUGGACCAAUCUAAACAGGAAAAGCUUUAAAACGUAUCUGUGGCUCGAUUUUCAUGCUUGGUGGGUCUUGCAUCUGGAGUUCCUCAGAGAUGGACUAGUAUAAAUCUUCCGGGUGUGUGUGUCUCACCUCAAUACUGUAUACAACCAGAUUAAAUGGGUCCAUUUCCUGGUACUUGUGAAAUUGAAGAGCUGAGUUCAGUUGAACAUUCUAGAAGAACUCAUCUACCAAAUGCUGGGAUGAANNNN
rnacentral:lncRNA from 1 species